rnacentral:snRNA from 1 species
GUGCUUGCCUUGGCAGCACAUACACUAAAAUUGGAAUGAUACAGAGAAGAUUAGCAUGGCCCCCGUGCAAGGAUGACAUGCAAAUUCGUGAAGUGUUUCAUAUUUUU